rnacentral:lncRNA from 1 species
CUUCACUAUCAGUCGAUUUUCUACAGUGAUCGACUAUUCUCCGAAUCUCAGCCUAGACUUCUUCCGACCACGAACGACUUUACUCCGAACUUCUUUCGGGCUUCAUCGACGUCCGAGCUUCUCCAAUAGCAGGACUUCUACAGUAAUCAGACUCCAUCCAAGUUUCUACGACAGUCGACCGCCUUCCGAAUUUCAUUCGAGCUCCAACAAG